UUCUCACUGAUUUUAAAUGUGAAUUUCAAGACUGAAAGACACUUUCCCAUUGAAAGCAAUUGUGUCACCGGAGCAGGGAAGGAGACGGUAAAGCAGUGUAUAGUCUUCAGUUAGUAAGUAAAUGAGGGAAGUUGAGUGUUCCUUUCCAAACUCAAUACAACGUACAAUUUUCAUGGAUGACUUUGUGCGCCAGUGUGUUCUGCUUGCAACAAAUGCUACUGAAAUGAAUCAGCUCCUGGAGGAGAUGCACAGGAAAAUAACAAGGCAAGGUAGGUGACAAGUGUCUAACUGAGAAGAUUUUACUACCAAUCACCACUAAAUAAAGUGUCAGACCUGUCAGUGUGACCAUCAGGCAGAGAAGUUAAGAGGUAACAAGGCAAUCACUGUAGCUGACUUUUAAGUAUAUGUUCCAGUUCUUAUCAAAAGUGGUUGUCAUCAUUUCCAGGGUUCUUUACAGCAAAAAAAUAAAGAGGCUAUAUAAAUGCUAGAUUUCUUCCUCUAGAGAUUUUUCAGUGACACUGAAAACUCACUGUUGCCCAGAUCCAUUACUGCGGUAGAGGCUGUGCACUUGAGAACAACAUUCUUCCCAUCCCUAUGUGCACUGAUUAGAACCUUAAUGUGCAGUUCAGAGCACCCACUAUCUGCAAUCUGUGGGCAUGGCUUAUUAGACAGGCAAUUACUGAAAUAAUUUCAGUGUCCGUGACAGGCGUUCAUAGUAUGAGCCAUAAAGAUCUUUGAUACCUUUGGAAUCCUUACAGGACGGCCAGUCUAUUUGCUACAUUUUUUUCUUAAGAAAAGUUUUAAUUUUGCAUUUUUAUGCAAAUACAAAUAUGACAGAAUUACAAAAGUUCAUCUUUUUGCUGUACAGUCUCAGAGCCCCAGAAUAUUGAUAUACAAUAAAUGCUACCAAGCUAAUUUACUCUGAAGAUUGUAACUGAGCCCAUUGAGAGUUUAGUCCUCUUCAUUCCAGUCACUCUGUCUCCUAUAGUUAGUGGACGUACUCCUAUCAAGUCUGG
ensembl:lncRNA